rnacentral:rRNA from 1 species
GAUGAACGCUAGCGGGAGGCUUAACACAUGCAAGUCGAGGGGCAGCAUAGGGUAGCAAUACUCUGAUGGCGACCGGCAAACGGGUGAGUAACGCGUAUGUAACCUACCCUGUACAGGGGGAUAACCCGGAGAAAUUCGGACUAAUAUCCCAUAACAAUAUCCGGGGCAUCUUUGGAUAUUUAAAGUUCCGGCGGUACGGGAUGGGCAUGCGUAACAUUAGCUAGUUGGUAAGGUAACGGCUUACCAAGGCUUUGAUGUUUAGGGGGUCCUGAGAGGGGUGGUCCCCGACAACGUGGGUACCUGAGACACGGACCAGACUCCUACGGGGGGCAGCAGUGAGGAAUAUUGGUCAAUGGGCGCAAGCCUGAACCAGCCAUCCCGCGUGCAGGAAGACGGCGCUAUGCGUUGUAAACUGCUUUUCCAGGGAGAGAAACUUGCGCACGUGUUGCGCAAUUGACGGUACCCUGGGAAUAAGCAUCGGCUAACUCCGUG